UACGUAGGGGGCCUAGCGUUGUCCGGAUUUAUUGGGCGUAAAGAGCUCGUAGGCGGUUCGGCAAGUCGGAUGUGAAAUCUCCACGCUUAACGUGGAGGGGCCAUUCGAAACUGCCGUGACUCGAGUCCGGUAGGGGAGUGUGGAAUUCCCGGUGUAGCGGUGAAAUGCGCAGAUAUCAGGAGGAACACCGGUGGCGAAGGCGGAUCUCUGGGCCGAUACUGACGCUGAGGAGCGAAAGCGUGGGGAGCGAACAGG
rnacentral:rRNA from 1 species